ensembl:lncRNA
GAGUUCCUUACUGAGACCUGGACAACCAGGUGAGGGGAGUUCCUUACUGAGACCUGGACAACCAGGUGAGGGAGUUCCUUACUGAGACCUGGACAACCAGGAGAGGGGAGUUCCUUACUGAGACCUUGACAACCAGGUGAGGGGAGUUCCUUACUGAGACCUGGACAACCAGGUGAGGGGAGUUCCUUACUGAGACCUUGACAACCAGGUGAGGGGAGUUCCUUACUGAGACCUGGACAACCAGGUGAGGGGAGUUCCUUACUGAGACCUGGACAACCAGGUGAGGGGAGUUCCUUACUGAGACCUGGACAACCAGGUGAGGGGAGUUCCUUACUGAGACAACCAGGUGAGGGGAGUUCCUUACUAAGACAACCAGGUGAGGGGAGUUCCUUACUAAUUAAUGACCUUUUUUCAUCAAUCAAGUACAAGGGAGCAGGGAGCAGGGAAAACUGGCAGACACUGGGAGUUUGACACGGGCCUAACCCUAACCCUUACCCUAACCCUAACCUCGUCCUUAGACUAAUUGUUACUGAGUAUAAGGGCAUAUUCAACAGAGAGAGAGAGCUGACUGGUGGAGGAGACUAGACUUGCCCUCACACAGUCCAAUAUCCACUUUUGCUUAUUUGAUAAAUAAAAAAUAUUCCUCACUCAGAUCUCACAUGUACUCGCUAAUGUCUGUCCACUGAUUACUAAAAUCUCCUCUCAUUUCCUUACUGUUAGUGUGUCUGACUCAUUGUUUUUGGGCUGGGCAGGACAUCCUCAGCUGCCUCUAGUUGAUUUCUCUCUGCUUUCCUGCUCUCUCUCUUUCAAUUUCCUCCUCUCUUCUCUCUCUCUCUACAUUUCCUUCUCUCUCUCUCUCUCCAUUUCCGCCUCCUUCUGUUUGCCCAUUUGAUUAACUCUGAUCAUUUCCUCCUUAGGUUUAGAUUACCAGCCUUGGACGCAGUAGGCAGUGUCAGUCAGCACCAGGCAGGUGUAAGGGCGGGGUCUACUC